rnacentral:rRNA from 1 species
CAUCCUACGGGAGGCAGCAGUGGGGAAUAUUGCACAAUGGGCGCAAGCCUGAUGCAGCCAUGCCGCGUGUAUGAAGAAGGCCUUCGGGUUGUAAAGUACUUUCAGCAGUGAGGAAGGUGGGUAUGUUAAUAGCAUAUUCAUUUGACGUUAGCUGCAGAAGAAGCACCGGCUAACUCCGUGCCAGCAGCCGCGGUAAUACGGAGGGUGCGAGCGUUAAUCGGAAUUACUGGGCGUAAAGCGCAUGCAGGUGGUUUGUUAAGUCAGAUGUGAAAGCCCGGGGCUCAACCUCGGAAUUGCAUUUGAAACUGGCAAACUAGAGUACUGUAGAGGGGGUAGAAUUUCAGGUGUAGCGGUGAAAUGCGUAGAGAUCUGAAGGAAUACCGGUGGCGAAGGCGGCCCCCUGGACAGAUACUGACACUCAGAUGCGAAAGCGUGGGGAGCAAACAGGAUUAGAUACCCUGGUAG